ACAAAAACCAUAAAUUAUGGUUUUUAGUUUCUCUUUAAAAUUGCAAGAAACCACCCAAAAACUAGUUUCUCUAAAUUUAAGAGAAUCUAUUUUUUGAAAAUUUUGAAUGGUAAAAAAAUAGAUUUUCAAAGAAUCAGAAUCCAAAAACCACUUAAAAUCUAGUAAACAUUCAAAAUCUAGUAAACAUUCAAGGCCUCAGUUUCUUCUUUCUAUCUCUUUCGAUUCCAACAAAGCGAUGAAACAAAAAUCGAUCAAAAUCUUGUGACGACAAAGCGAUGAAACACGAAGUUCUGAUCUCGCGUCGACGCUUCUUCUUCCUGAGAUGUUAUCGACGGUUGAUGAAUAGACUGGAGAAAGAGAUCUCGCCUCAUCGUCUUCUUCUUCGAUCCAAGUCUUCGACAUAUUGAGAAGGCUGCGAAAUACAAGAGAGCCCUCACAGCUACCAAAUUAGAACAGGAGCAAUGGAUGUUCAUACGAAUUGGGAGUCUCGUGUAUGGCCGAUAACCUCAAUUACCUCAAGGGAAUCUACUCUGCUUCUAUAGAUGGAGUGGUGAAUGCAGGAUAACAACCAUUAUCAUGAAGUGAAAGAACUAGAGAAGAGGAAAGGAGGAAGAAGAGAAGAUACAGAGCUUAACAUCAACCUCUGCUUCUCGGUGCCACCAUCACUGCUUCUCAGAGAAGGUAACGUUACAAAGCUUUUUACAAGUUGCGGCUUAAGUUAUGGUUAUUUUUUAAGUCUUGUUUGUAGUAUAAGAAGGUAUUGAUUUAGUUAUGGUUAUGUUUUAAGUAUUGUUUGAAGUCUAGCUUUGUUGUUGACAUUGAUAGCUUGUUUUGUGUCAAUUAAACACAAUUUGGUAGGUAGUUGUAAUAGUUACACACUUUUUGUUAAACACAAGUUGUUGACUCGAAAACAGGACAAGCACAUGAGUAGUUAAUAACUUAUACAACGUACGACACAUUUGUUAUUUGUCUUGUGUGGGUGUUUAUUUGCAGGAUAGGUUAUGUGUAAUUUUUGUUCUGUUUAUAACAGCUGUAGUUAUAAUUUUUGGGUCUGUAUAUUCGAAAAAUGGUUCGGUUUAUAUGCAGGUAACCCGAGAUCAAUGGUUCUGUUCUUAUAACUACAGCUAAGUGGUUCUGCUCUUCUUUUGUUUGCUUUUAAUUCUUCUCUCAUGUGUUGUUUGCUUAUCCUCAGCAGGGGAUAUUCAGACUGUUCUUCCCGUGAACCUUGUGAAGUCACGUCAACACAAGAGAACGAAACGGUCUGGUCUCUCGUACAUGCUCUUCCCGUGAGGACGCACAAGAGAACAAAACUGUCGGAACAAGAGAACAAAACUGUCUCUGGUCUGUGGUACAUAUCACGGUCUGCGUUUUCUUUCCCGUGAGGACGCACAAGGUUCCCUAAACCCGUGAACACAUUUGUUCAAUAAACUUGUAUAUAUACCAAGUAUGUAUCGGCUACUCUUGAUUGUAAAAACUCUCACAUUUCAAAUAAGCUCCCAAUUGCAAACAAUCUCUUUUCCAAA